rnacentral:tRNA from 1 species
AUGGCUCAGUGGUUAAGAGCACUUGCUAUUCUUCCAGGGGACCUGGGUUCAAUUCCCAGU